GUGUUCACUUUGGCAGCACAUAUACUAACAUUGGAACAAUAUAGAGAUUAGCAUGGCUCCUGCACAGGAUGACACGCAAAUUCAUGAAGUGUUCAAUAUUUCU